rnacentral:rRNA from 1 species
GACGAACGCUGGCGGCGUGCUUAACACAUGCAAGUCGAACGGAAAGGCCCUGCUUUUGUGGGGUGCUCGAGUGGCGAACGGGUGAGUAACACGUGAGUAACCUGCCCUUGACUUUGGGAUAACUUCAGGAAACUGGGGCUAAUACCGGAUAGGAGCUCCUGCUGCAUGGUGGGGGUUGGAAAGUUUCGGCGGUUGGGGAUGGACUCGCGGCUUAUCAGCUUGUUGGUGGGGUAGUGGCUUACCAAGGCUUUGACGGGUAGCCGGCCUGAGAGGGUGGCCGGCCACAUUGGGACUGAGAUACGGCCCAGACUCCUACGGGAGGCAGCAGUGGGGAAUAUUGCACAAUGGGCGGAAGCCUGAUGCAGCAACGCCGCGUGCGGGAUGACGGCCUUCGGGUUGUAAACCGCUUUCGCCUGUGACGAAGCGUGAGUGACGGUAAAGGGUAAAGAAGCACCGGCUAACUACGUG